CAGAGAUAUUGGAGAGGAUCUGUUGGAUCUCUGGCCAGGCCCUUUUCAUCACUCUGGAGCCAAUACCCUCCCAAGGCGGGAUCCCCGACCCUGAAGCCAGAGAAGGCACCUCUGGUGCAAAUGUUUCUAUGCUCUCCCUAUCAUCUCCGUCCCUGAGGUUAUUGCAGGUUGGAAGGCGAAAAAUCCACACUCGUGAUGACAUGUUUUCCGAGCUCAUUCAGUCCUCCCGCACUGGUAGAGCACAGCUUAAUGCAUGGAGGCAUUCAGUGGCAGAGGCCAGGAAAGGAUUAAG